UUGACACCGUAAGAAACCCACAUUCCC
rnacentral:piRNA from 1 species